UGCAGAGAACUUUCCAGAGAUGGAUUGGUGCCUUCGGGAACUCUGACACAGGUGCUGCAUGGCUGUCGUCAGCUCGUGUCGUGAGAUGUUGGGUUAAGUCCGUAACGAGCGCAACCCUUGUCCUUAGUUACCAGCACGUUAUGGUGGGCACUCUAAGGAGACUGCCGGUGCAAACCGGAGGAAGGUGGGGAUGACGGUCAAGUCAUCAUGGCCCUUACGGCCUGGGCUACACACGUGCUACAAUGGUCGGUACAAAGGGUUGCCAAGCCGCGAGGUGGAGCUAAUCCCAUAAAACCGAUCGUAGUCCGGAUCGCAGUCUGCAACUCGACUGCGUGAAGUCGGAAUCGCUAGUAAUCGUGAAUCAGAAUGUCACGGUGAAUACGUUCCCGGGCCUU
rnacentral:rRNA from 1 species